UAGGGAAUCUUCGGCAAUGGGCGAAAGCCUGAUCCAGCAAUGCCGCGUGUGUGAAGAAGGUCUUCGGAUUGUAAAGCACUUUCGACGGGGACGAUGAUGACGGUACCCGUAGAAGAAGCCCCGGCUAACUUCGUGCCAGCAGCCGCGGUAAUACGAAGGGGGCUAGCGUUGCUCGGAAUGACUGGGCGUAAAGGGCGCGUAGGCGGUUGAUGCAGUCAGAUGUGAAAUCCCCGGGCUUAACCUGGGAACUGCAUUUGAUACGCAUUGACUAGAGUUCGAGAGAGGGUUGUGGAAUUCCCAGUGUAGAGGUGAAAUUCGUAGAUAUUGGGAAGAACACCGGUGGCGAAGGCGGCAACCUGGCUCGAUACUGACGCUGAGGCGCGAAAGCGUGGGGAGCAAACA
rnacentral:rRNA from 1 species